ACGCUUCUAUGUUUGGAUUGGGAGCAGUACUGAGCCAUGUCGGAGCAGAUGGCAGCGAGCAUCCCGUAGCUUACUGAAGUAGAAAACUUUUACCCCGAGUAAGCUACGCCGACAUCAAAAAGGAAUGCCUUGCCGUGGUGUGGGCCCUCAAAAAACUGCAACCAUAUUUAUACGGACAUCCAUUCUCGCUACUCACAGAUCACAACGCGUUGGUCUGGCUAAAUCGGGUAUGAGGAGACAAUGCCUGGCUGCUGCGUUGGAGUUUGGCGUUGCAGCCUUUUGACUUUAUGAUCCACUACCGCCCGGGAAAGCUAAACGCAACGCUGACUGGUUAUCCAGACGAAUGGAACUCGAAAAGUGAUCUGUGAGUACUCCUCCGGACAUCCCCAAGCUGAUCCAUUGGGAUCAGACUGUUUAUGCUGGCUUGGUUCUAGGGGAGCAUUGUGGCAAAUUUAGCCACUGAUAGAUUUAAACCGUAUAUUUAAGCAACCUGUAUAUUUCUGCUAUUGUUAUCUGUAUUGUGCAAUGUAUGCGGUAUUCGUGUGUUACAGCACACGAAUACCGCUAAGUAUAAGUUUGGUUACCACAAACAGUGAAUCACCACACUGUUCGUGGAAUAAGCAAAGUACCGAAUGGGAGACCACCCAUAGCAGGUCGUGUGUCUCCAAUUAGGUACUUUGCAACAUUGUAUCAGGGUUAAUUGCAGUCUGUUGCGGGUGGCCGCCAUUCGUAUACCGAACAUGAGGUGGCGGCCAUCUUUGUUUGCGGAAAGCCAGCGGGAGUUUGCCGUUUUCGGGACUUUCAUUACCUCAGUUCAGGCAAUCGGUUAAACAAAAGGGUCCUGAUAAGGGAAAAUUAACCACGUUCGGUUAUUUGUGCUGGGAUCUGAGCACAAGUUCCCUUAACUGAGCGCCCAG